AUAAAGGGUAACAUUUGGAGACUUAGGACUCUGUUCAUUUGGGUUAUCCAUAAAGGGUAACAUUUGAAGACUUAGGGUUCUGUUCAUCGGGUUACCCAUAAAGGGUAAUAUUUAGAGACUUAGGGCUCUGUUCAUUUGGGUUACCCAUAAAGGGUAAUAUUUGGAGACUUAGGACUCUGUUCAUCGGGGUUACCCAUAAAGGGUAG
rnacentral:lncRNA from 1 species